rnacentral:tRNA from 1 species
GGGCGGGUGUUGGAAUGCUAUACAUCACAGACUUAAAAUCUGUGGCUCGAAAGAGAUUAAGGGUUGGACUCCCUUCUCGCCUACCA